rnacentral:lncRNA from 10 species
GAGAAGAAGGUGAGACAUUCAAAGGCAGGAUUUGUUCAUCACUUGCCAUGUGGAGGCACUGUCCUAGCUGCUCAGGAUGAAGGGCUUUGUGCUGACAGCUGAGAUCUGAAUCACGAGAAGGAUCCAGCCAUGGGACAACAUGUGGAUGAGUAUUUCGGGCCAAGGGGACAGCAGUGAUGAGGCAGUGACUGAGGUGGGAACCCAGGAGCUCAGUGAGAGGAGACAAGGGGCAAGAGGGAAGGAAGGAAGGAGAAAAAUGCACGGAGGGAGCAAGUCCUGUAGGGAAGUCUUUGUGAGCCAGUGGAAAGGUCUAGGAUUUGUUCUCUCUCUCUAAGUUUCCACUGCAGCACUUCAGCAGGCCUGCCAAUUGCCAGUAUCAUCAAGGUUUCUUUGUGGAGCACCUACUUCCUGUGCAAGCCUCGGAAACCAGGGCCCGGUCCUCCCAACCAGCGGCUGCUUCCUCUGAACGCCUUCAAGUCUGCCCUGUGCUUUCAGAAUCUGUCUUCAUCCAGCACCAUUGAAAACCUCAGGAGUGCACUGAACCACGUGAUGUCUGAGGACCAUUCUGGUCCUGGCAAGCAAUAAAUGACUGCUUUCAAGAAGAACACUGCCUACAGUCCUCCCCAGAAUCCGGAUGGCCCUCUGGCCACUCACGUCCACUGGGUCCCAGUGUGUGAGCACAUGCCCCUGCGAGAAGAAGUCCUGAUCACUGCCUUGUGCUGGGGAUAAAAUAUUGAUUAGGGAAUUUAAAAUUUCAAAAUGAUUCAGGAGCCCCAAAAUGGGGACAUAAUGUGCUGUGCCAAUCUACGUUAUGAGCCAUCUAUCUCCUGUCAGCAAGCAGCCAGAAACUGACAGAAUCAAUACAAACGUGUCUGAAGACAGGCUUAACUCAUUUCCUUCCCCCUGGGGCUCUGGUUGGAGUGGGACAGUCCUGAGAGAUCCACACUGAGGCCAGGACCUUCACACCCACCUGCUUGUCACUGGGAGGCAGAGCUGUGCAGUGCUGCCUAUUUUCACUGCCUCCUCUGCUGAUGCAGGUAUCUCUGCUAGUGCGUCUGGAAAUCUAAAACUUCCAUUGUCUUCUUUCCCUCUCUAACAGUCUAAAUAAGAUGUCUGGCCUGUGGCCUGGAAAUAAAAUAAUAAUAAUAGCUUUCUUAUAUUAAGCACUUGAAAUGUGCCAAGUAUCUUAAAAGAGUCAUCAUUAUUUAACUUCUCAGAGCAUCAGCUUCCCUAUCUGUGAAAGAAAGAUAAUAAUAACACCUUCCUCAUAGGAUUGAUGUAAGAAUAAGGCAGACACACGGUGACUGUAGUUAAUGCCACUGAGAGUGAUUAAAAUUGUAAAUUUUAUGGUGUGUAUAAUUUACCACAAUAAAAAAAUAACAAAAAAAGGUAAAAGCAGAUAAACUACAUCAUAUAGUGCAAAGAAAGUUCUCCAUAAAUGGCAGCUGCUGAGAAAACUGGAAUGCAGAGCUUCAGCAACCCGAAACAUGUCCAAGAUAACAGCUUCAAAGUGGCAGAACCAGCAUUUGAACACACAUCUGCCUGAUGUUGAAACCAGACCAUUGUCCUGCAAACUGCACUGUAUCACAGAGAAAGAAGAGGGGUGCUUCAUGGACAUGUCCUUGUCUGCCAGGUUCUCUUGCUGCUGCUCCCAUUUCCCCACCGGCAUCCCAGGUGCUUGCAUUACUCUGUGAGGUUAAUAAAGAUGUUAUUCCCAGGGAAUGCCCUUGCUCCUCCCUGCCUCAAACAUGGUUCUUUCCACCUGAAACAUUUAUUAAACAUGCUGAAAGGCUUAAAUAGGAAUUUAAUUUUUCUAGCUAAACAAUGGCGUGUGCAGCAGACCAAUAGAAUUACUUGUUUAAUCUUACUCUUGCACUCCUACUCAGCUUCACAUGGCUGGUUAAUCCCAGGAGCAGCAUGACAUGCCAAGAUUUAGUAUACUAAGGAGCACAUCUAUUAAAAAAAAAAAAACCUACUUAUUAUAUUAAGAAAAUGCCCAC